UCGGGUGUGGUGUAAUGGCUAACAUCGUUGACUCUCAUUGCUCAGCAAUGAACCCCCUCAACAGCUCCGGGUUCGAUUCCCGGCAUCCGAG
rnacentral:tRNA from 2 species